rnacentral:lncRNA from 1 species
GAGAAAGGACUCAGGGGCAUUCUUUUGAGGCAGUCUACUACUCAGUAAGCUUGAAUCCUAAUGUCUGACUUAAUGUGUGAAUGGCUACAGAAUUUUUAACUGGAAGAUGGCUACCAGUGCUUUUAGGUAUUUGGCUGGUCUGCUGCUUCCUCCCAGCAAUGCCUAUUCUCAUGGCCAAGGAACCACAGCUGCUAGCCUAUGGAGAUGUCUCUGGUACACUUUACAGAGCAUUGUCCAGUCUCCAGCAAUCACAGAGACCUUCACUUAAAACAGGUGCCUGGCAAGUGACUGGAGUUCCCUCCCUUCCCAGGAGUUGCAGUGAGGCCUUCUACUUUAUAUCCAUAUCAUGAGCUAUGGAAUUUUCCUGUCACAGUAUGGAAGCUAAAGACACAGUUUGGGCUCAGGGUUUGUAUCUGAGAACUGCCAUUGAAAGUUAUUAAAUAAAGAACACUAAAUUAGUAAACCUGACUGAGUCUCUUACUUGUCAAAGAUAAUAUGGAAAUUUAAUUGGUCUGGUUUUGGCAUUUUAUGACGAUUUUACCUACAAAAUAACUGUCUGAGGUGGGCAUGGUUGUUCUAAUUGGUGGAUCUGUCGUAGCAGAGGCAGGGGAUCUACAUGAAAAUAGAAAGCAAGUGAGUGGAUACGUGCAUAGUAUAGCACCUCAUGUCUUCAGAAGAGGCAGAGGGCCAAGUUAGGCAUUUGAGGUAAGGUCUCCAACCACUGGGCAAUCCUGCUGGAACCCACACUGUGCCUAAGUUCUGAUCUACUUCCUCAUUACGUAAGCCAGGCCCCUACAGUUGUCUUGAAAAAUCCGUUUCCUG